rnacentral:rRNA from 1 species
UACGGAGGGUGCAAGCGUUAUCCGGAUUCACUGGGUUUAAAGGGAGCGUAGGUGGCUUUGUAAGUCAGUGGUGAAAUCUUAGAGCUUAACUCUAAAACUGCCAUUGAUACUGCUUAGCUUGAAUCACGUCGAGGUGGAUGGAAUAUUACAUGUAGCGGUGAAAUGCUUUAGAUAUGUAAUAGAACACCGAUUGCGAAGGCAGUUCACUAGGCGUGUAUUGACACUGAGGCUCGAAAAGCGUGGGGGAUCAAACAGG